ACGCCUGUGCUACUGCUGUAGUCCCCGACUGAGUACAAGGGAAAUCCACCCCAACUCACUCACAGUCCUCCUGCGUUAAAGCUGCACUCACACUCUCUAGUAGGCUGGUUGAGACUGGAAGCAUUCGUUUAAAUCUGGCCUUGUCCCCUGGCAACAAAAACCCUGCAUGGUUCUGAAAAGAGGACAUGAGCCUGGGAAACCCUUUUAGGAAAACAGACGGGAGCUCAAAGCACAGCGGGAACGGAAUGUCCAAAAGGGAAGAAUGAUACCCCGGCCAUAACCGGAUGCAACGUGCUGCUCCUGCAUUGUUGCAAAGGAGCUUCCAGUCUAGUUCCGAACCGUGCCUUCCAGUAUUUAGCCAGUGAUGCUCUGCAUGUUGAGCACACAGCAAGCAGCCCUGACCCGUUGACUCUACUAGACCGCUGAAGGUGGGGUAUCUGGCCCCAAGAUGUUAGCAACAGAUCCUUUAAGUCCAAUAAGUUGUGUCAAGGGGCUUCCAUUGAUCAAACUUGUUUGUCCAGCACAUCCCAAAGAUGCUCGACUGGAUUGAGAUCUGGGGAAUUUGGAGGCCAAGUCAACACCUCAAACUCCUCAAACCAUUCCUGAACCAUUUUUUCCUUUGUGGGAAGGCAGACUAUCAUGCUGAAAGCUGUCCAUGACUGUUUCCAUGACAGUUUAAAGAGUAGUACAUGGUAGUACAUGUCAAAGUAGCAUCCAGGUAGAUGGCAGGACCCAAGGUUUCCCAGCAGAACAUUGGCCAAAUCAUCACACUGCCUCCAUCAACUUACCUUCUUCCCAUAGUGCAUCCUGGUGCUAGGUGUUCCCCAGGCUCACUUAUCCCAACUGUCAUUGUGUGAGAGGCCAGGAAAGAUCGCAGGGCCAACACAAACAGAAAAACGACGAUUCAUGUUCACAUUCAUACCUACGUUCAUCUUUGAAUGACCAAUUAACCUAACCCCGUGGAUGUUUCUGGACUGUGGGAGGAAGCUGGAGUGCCCAGAGAGAACUGAUGCCAACACAGAGAAAACAUGCAAACUCCACACAGAAAGGCCCCAACUAGGAUUGAAACCCAGGACCUUUUUGCUGUGAGGUGAGAACAUUGUGCAUCAUCCAAAUCUGAAUAAGGUGUGCACAGUUGGCCCUGCUGCGCCUCCCGUCGAAGGUAAACACAGCAGAUGAGACGGUAAUCCGCGACGGUGGAGAAGGUCUUUCACCCAAGCUCUAAUUCACGUGGGGUUGAUUUACAGAUCAGAGAGGAUUAGACACGAUGGGAGGACAGAGAUAGUAUUCCUAAGCAUGCUCGUGUGGUUUUAGUGUGUGUUAGCGUUGCCCUGCAGCUGGCACACGUUUAGAUUUUGGGUUUUUGCUUUCCUCUGAGGAUUUGAGAGAUAAAGAGUCACACAUUUAUAUUUUCAAGAAAGAAAGACAGAAAGGAAGGAAGAGAAACUGCCAUCGUAUAAACAGAAGCAUGCACUGUAUAUUUAGAGUCCUAGGAGUAACUAUUGCAUAAGUUGUUGUGGUCACACUGCCCUCUUUAUUAAGUAGAGAAACAGUUUAAAGAACGCACUGUACACACAAGGUGUGUGUUUGUACACCCAUUAUUAUCAUUCAUUUAAUUAUCUCCUAUCUCUCUUACACAAUAUUGUGUGAUCUUAAGACACUUAUCUAGGUGUGCACAAGUGCAUGUUGCUAAGCAAGUAUCGCAGAAUAACAAUGAAAGCUGACAUGGGAAAACAGAUUUAACAUGCCUAACAUGUUUUGACAGCACUUUAUGAACACGGGGCAAAAAACUAAUUGCCACACCGAUUCAUUUAAGAAGCAUUCAGUCCUACACAGCACAAUGUAAACCCACUUCCCUCUAAGAGUCUGGAUUUGUCCUACAUUAACAAACAUGUAUCAGUUUAUUUCGCUCCUUCCCCAGGCUCUGUUGCACUCUCAUGUGUACUUCCUCAUGGUCUUCUAGUUACAAUAUGAGAGUCAACUCAUUGUACUUUUAAAUCAAAUGUACAACAUACCCAUACCCUCAAAACACAGAUAAUGAAAAAAAAACUCAUUACAAACCUGGGAUGUAAAACAAAGAGAAGCUUGUGGGAAAUAUGCUGCAGGGAAUAAAACAGAUGCUAAUUUACAUACAAGUUUUUAAAAUGGUUGGAUAGCACUGACAGAGUUACACCAAAUAUUUUAAAAAUGUUUUUGAUGAUGGAGGUGUUGGUUACUCUCUUAGUCAGCAUUUCAUAAGCUAUUCUGUAUUGUGAAUAAUCAUUGUGACUUUCAAACAAUUACAUGAAACAAAAAAAGCUACAAAGCAAAGUCUGCAAAGGCCGCAAAGGCCUACUACAUUUUGUUCACCCUGCAGCACUGAUUUAUACAUUCAAACAAUCCAGAAACGAGAACAUCUUUGCAUCUAUGACCAUAUCAGAAUCAUAAAAGUAUUUAGCUGAACAACCACUGCAAAGUCAUUGCAGCAUAUCAAAAAUAUCACAUUUUGGAGAUCAGAAUCUCAAGGCAACCUCAUGGCAUGUUUUAAGGAAUGUAACAACACUGAAGGCACUAAUCUUCAUCCCAGUGCUGCUGAGUCACUGUACGGGAUUCUUGUACAAGUCCAAAGACGACUAACCAAAGUUAACAGCAUUUCUGCAAAAGAUUAGCUGUUUGAUACAGCUUGCACUGUCUGUGUAACUGAUGGAUAUAGUGUACAAUCACAGAUACAUUUAAAGAAAACACAGUUUUGUAUGUAACAGAUGACUUCACAUGUAGCACACAGGCUUUAAAGGUUUCUAGUGUAUAAGAAAAAAAUAACUCAAAUGAUGUUUUCAUAUAAGAGGCGAUGAUGAACAUUACUAUUGCUCAGUUAAGGCAAUUGCAUAAGAAGAUUUACUCUUUGUGUGUGUGUUUUCUAGGCAAUAAUGUGAUAAUAUUUUAUGCUGUGAUUUAUAUUUUAAAAACUGUAAGUGUUUUUAAUCAUGUGACUAUUAUUUUCCCCACCGUUUUUUGGAUUUACUAUAAAAUAAAAUCACACAUUAGUGUUUACUUUUUCCAUAUUGGCUUAUUCAGUGGUUGGAUUGGAGCAACUGAAGAUCAAAAUUCAUGUGUGAUAAACUGAUUAAUGAAAAUGUUGUGCAAAAUUUGGAUGUUUAA